rfam:Flavobacteriaceae bacterium TMED48 8635, whole genome shotgun sequence.
CAACCACUGACGAUAAUCGUGUAUGUUG